GAUUUUUCCUAUUCACGAGCAACAAGUUUGAUUUUAGAUGGAUAAAUUGAAUCGAGGCCACAUCCUGUCGUCUUCAAACUUGUUAUAGUGCGAAGAACUUCAGCAGGUGACGUGGGUUUUAAGAAAAAAGAGUGAGGCAAGCGAGACAACGAAGGCAGGUUAGUGACAGUCGAUGCUCAGUUGUUGAAAAAUGAUUCAUUAAAUGAAUUGGCGAUAGCGAUAGGGCAAGUUAGAACGCUGGUGCCAUCCGAAAAUUCUGUCUCAAGUGCAUCUGGCUGAUCAGUAUGCAAGAAUUCCUUAAUUACGUUCCAAUUUUUCCUACUGUCAUUCCCAUUUUCGAGCACUUUAUUUUGAUAGUAGGUUCGUUUGGCUUUUUUAAGUACGACAGUAAGAGUUUGUGAAUACAGUUUAAAGCGGGCCCUAAGGGACAGGUUGAACGGCUGAAGUUUUACUUUUUUGUAAAGGUUAUCUUUUUUAUUUAUGCUGCGCAGCAGUCCUCUAGUAAUCCACGGGUUUCUAGGGGUUGAGUACCAACGGGAUGUGAUGGAUACAAAUGUACGCGAGUUUAUGAUGCCUGUUAGUUUCUCAGUCAAGGUAUUGAACGCUUUGUUAACACAAGGUUCUUGCGAUAGUUGCCCCCAGUCAGAGCGGGAUACCAAAUCAACGAAUUUCGCAGAAUCGAAACAACACCUAUUGACUAUUUUAUUUUUACAAUUAGUUUGUGUUUUUAAUAAGAGAAAAAUCGGAUAAUGGUCUGUCAGAUUAAAAUUGACCACACCGGCCUUCUGAACUAACAUAACGUUACUGAGUAUAUGGUCAAUAAGUGUGUUCCGACCAGAAGGAGCACAUCAUGUCGGAGAAUCCAGCAGAGAUUCCAAACCAUGACCCAUGAAACAGUUAGAGUACUGAACACAAGAACUGUCGUGAAUACUUGUAAUGUCAAUGUUAAUGUCACCUAAAAUGAUCACAUUAUAAUUUUCGGAAAUAAACGAGCUUAAUAUACUAUCAAGUUCAACGCAAAAGUCACCGUAAGACGAUGAUGGGGACCGAUAAAUUGAACCAAUGAUAGUUCUUUUGUUAGACGGAAGGAAAUCUCGGUCAAAUUCGAGCCAGACUGAUUCACAUUUCGACACAGAAAAUGCGAUAUCAGUACGUCGUCUAUAUGAUAACGCGUUAGAAAUGAACAUGGC
rnacentral:lncRNA from 1 species